GUGCUCACUUCGGCAGCACAUAUACUAAAAUUGGAAUGAUACGGAGAAGAUUUGCAUGGCCCCUGCGCAAGAAAAGAUUGAGGAAUGACAUCAACUUUACCAUUGUUAU